AACAAGAAUAUACGGGGAGCCCUUGUGGCCGCUUUGAAAUCAGGUCAAAAUUUUUGAAAUAUCUGGAAAUCGGCGGAUUGCCGUCCAGCAUGACGAGCAAACCCUUAGUUUUACUAGCUGGCUAGUGUUGAAAUAUUCAGAACCAGGCGGAUUGCCGUCCAUUAUGUAAAUAUGUUAGCCUUUCGCCAGUUGGGUAGUGUUUUGAAAUACUUGGACACGACGGAGUGACGUCCAACAUGCCAAACUUUAGCUGAUCGCUAGUCAAUUAGUGUUUUUAAAUAUCUGGGACCCGGCGGCGGAUUGCCGCCCAAUUUGCAGAACUGUUAUCGUUAGCUUUUAGUAGUGGUUUUUUCAACCAGGGGGAAAACUCUCGUCACAUAACACAGCUGGUAAUCUAUUAAAUUCACCUUUUCCUAGUUUGUUUUUUCGUGUACUUGCAUAUUGGUCUGUUUAUUCCCCUCUCAAGAAUGUUUAGUCCCCUUAUUUAGUUCAUCUUGACGUAACGUUACAUUGUUUAUUUAUACCAUUCUAUUUUGCAACAACGGAUCCACACGGUGGGUAGCUGCGAUCUUUAAGACAUACUUGUGAUCAAAACUGGUUAUAUGCCUCAUGCAUCCCUUUUCAAAAUGUGUCUAUCUCACAAUUUACCGCAUUGAGGAUUUUAUUUUCAAAUAAGCAGCAUUUUAACAUCCAUGACAUGUGGCGUAAUCAUAUCCGCCAGUUCUGUACGGGCCCGUCGCAUGUCGCUCUGUUUUGGCGCCUUGUUACGGCUGUCGAUCUUUUUGCCCCGCACAUAGCGGGUUUUGGUGGCUAGAUUUAUGAAGAAUUGACUCUCCAAAAUAUUUCCCAUGUCAUGGUUCGAGGCUGUUAAGUCGAUGAUCGAAAGUAUUAGAUUUGUAAAGAAGUUGAAAUAUUCCAUUAUUUCUUUAUAUGGGUUUACAGAAGUACCUAAGCUUUUACAUUAUACCGUUGAUUCUCAUGGUUGUAUUUUUCCUAAGUCUCGGGCGGAUUGCCCGAGCUUUAUGAAUAAAACACACCUUCUGUUUCCGCCAAACUUGAAUGAUUAGAGUAAUUCUUCUAUGAACGUGAUUUUAAAGCCUUGCUCGGAAGUGAAAAAAGACUUUGCGACGCAAAUUGAUUUUGAACGGCCCGAGCAAGGCUGGGGAUUUUGGCGCCAAAACGUUGCGAGACUUGCACUACUUAAUAUUCAUGAGCUUCCGUGGUUUACUCGCACAUGCUUUUGAAUAUUCAUGAUCACGCUCCGAGCACGCGGAGCUGGGAGAGCCAGUUAAUUAAUAUUCAUGAGUCAACCCUCGUGGCAGAAAAACCCAACCACGCUGUCGGAAGGUUCGUCUUCUUGAGAUCUCCUGCGAUUUUUUCCCUCCCACCGCCCCAUUCUUUCACCAUUGAUAGCAUCAUUGUCCUGAUAUCAUUCUGCAUACCCCCCUUUUUUCUGAUCCUUAUUUACAACUCCUUUCUUGUAGGUGGAUGCACAUUCAACCCUGUUGUGUAUUUAUUCAAUGUUUACCGAUGUUGCAGGCGCUUGGCUUGGCAUUGGCAUAUCCGAUUACUUUUACAUUCAACUUGAAAUGUUUUCUCAUCACCAUAUGUUUUGCCUUGUGUUUAUCAUGAUUGCAUCAGGAAUUACCUGUAUCAAUGUUUCACAUGAGGCUUUUUGUGUUCUGUUCCCACUCCAGUGGUAGUAAUGGGAUAAUUUUUUCUCAUAUGGGUCUUAUAUAUCUGAUUAUAGUUGUCUAUGUUUUGCAACAACCUCAUACUGUAGAGUGCUACACUUUUACACCUGGCUUGUUGUGUUCUGUUCCCAUUCCAGUGGUAGUAUUGGGAAAAAUUCGUGGUUUGUUGUUUUCUGUUCCCAUUCCAGUGGUAUGUAGCACCAGUCUAGGCAGCCCCGCCAUCCGUUGGCUAGCAUAGACAUGAAAUUUCAGGUCGUGUUCCGGCCUUAUGUGCUUCCAUGUUUUCUGUUACUAUUCUCUUAGGUGCAAGGACUGAUUUCGCCUUUCUAAAUCUUCUUAAGAACUCUGUUCGCAUUUCCCAAUACUGCCCAUUGCUACGCUAUACUGUCCUCCAUUGUACGGAGGUGUAUUUGGGUUGUUCUGACAUGCUAUGACAUUGCUCAUUGCUGCGCUAUACUGUCCUCCAUUGUACUGAUGUGUAUUGAGAAUUCUGUUCCCAUUUCCAGUGGUAGUAAAUGGGGUUGCUCUGCUAUGUUAUAAUAUUGCUUAGUGCUGCGCUAUAUUGUCCUCUGUCUCUAUUGUACGGAGGUGUUUAGAACUCUGCUCCCAUUUCCAAUGAUAGUAAAUGGGGUUGCUCUGUUAUGCUGUAAUAUUGCUUGGUGUUGCGCUAUACUGUCCUCCAUUGUACGGAGGUGUAUUGAGCAUUCUGUUCCCAUUUCCAGUGGUAGUAAAUGGGGUUGCUCUGCUAUGUUGUAAUAUUCCUUAGUGCUAUCCUAUAAUGUCCUUCAUUGUACGGAGGUGUAUUUAGAAUUCUGUUCCCAUUUCCAAUGAUAGUAAAUAGGGUUGCCUUGCUAUUUUGUAAUGUUGCUUGGUGCUGCGCUAUAAUGCCCUUCAUUGUCAGGAUCAUAUACGCCAAAUAUAUGGCCGUUGAAGUACGAAACCUGGUCACUAUUUAGAUAUGCGCAUAAAAUGUUUCAGUACGUAUUGUUACCUUGUGCAUUUGCAGUUUAUAUGUUUUAUUGCAAAUCUAUUCAUUUGUUUUGUAACUGCAGUUACUCAUCACGUGCCCAGUUUGCCCCAUUUUCUACAGGGAAGCAACGCUGGACCCCUUCGCUGCUCCUCAGAGGGUUAAGUCACUUUGAAGACCCCCAGCAAAGUGGUUGUUGGCUCCGCUAGCAACACAUAGCAACCACCUUUGACCCCAAGUUUCCCAGGAUUUCACCCAUUAUUCGAAAAUAGCUCCCCCCCCCCCCCCACACACACACACCUAGUGUACCGCCUGGCCAGGUAAGACAUUACUUGGCACCAUGUAGGGGUACUGUCUGGGAAGGUAAGCAGGGCGUGUAUUGGGUGUAGUGUUUCCAGUGUGUUAGAAAUAUUCUGAAUGCCACUGUCUGAAUCAUGCUGUCAUCAUAAGUACAAAUAACUUUGAAAAUGAUACAGUACAGCUGACUUAAUACAUUGCCCAGCUUCAGUCGCUCGUAUCCAACCAUUUAUACGCUGGGACCAGUUUGGGUAUAAUCUGAUUUCGACUGACUAAAACAAGAAACUGUUCUCAAAUAAAUGCCCCAAUCUUCCCGAGUCUUACCAGGGCUAACUAAACCCCUUUUUUCAGAGAUUGACGUCACUGUUGUAGGAAAUGAUACAUAUACUUUCAGCUAAUGUUCCAGGUCAGAUCCACCAGAAGAAGAAAUUGUUUCAAACUGAAAUCUUCAGAACUUUCAAGAAAGUAUUACUUCUGUUGCUAUCCACCAGACUAAUUACAAGAUUCCUUGGUGCUACUGUUUCUCUGCAUUUUUUUUCUCUUUCUUUAAUCUACAAUAAGAAAACAUGCUUUAAUCUUUCAGUUUCUGAAGUCAAGAAAAUACCCCAAAAAUUGACCAUGUUUCCCCCAAAGAAGGAGGCUGAUUAUUUUAAACUCAUUGCUUUUAAACUCGUAAUGUUACAUGUAUCAUAAUGUAUUAUUUCUAUUUCCAGGCCAGUAUGCUAAAAAAAUUAUUGUUAGGUUAAUAAUUGUACAUUGUUGGAAUGAGAAGGACAUUCAGCAUAACUGCAAUGUAAAGCUAGUGCAUAGUUGAAUGAUUAACAAAUCAGACAAAUAUAUGGCAGUAUAUACAUUAUUAAUCUAUUUCAAAUAGUUUGUUUAUUAUUGGAUCAACAGAACACAAGCUGAGGUGUGACAAGCUGGAACUCACCCUGUCAGGGAAGUCAACAAAUUUAUUGGCCAUAUUGUCACUUUAU